GCGAACGUUAGCGGCGGGCCUAACACAUGCAAGUCGAGCGAGAAAGGGGCUUCGGCCCUGAGUAAAGCGGCGGACGGGUGAGUAACACGUAGGUAAUCUUCCCUUGAGCGGGGGACAACGAUUCGAAAGGAUCGCUAAUACCGCAUACGUUCCUAGAGACCCCGGUCUUUAGGAGGAAAGCUAGGGCAGCAAUGCUCCGGCACUCGAGGAGGAGCCUGCGUCGCAUCAGCUAGUUGGUGGGGUAACGGCCUACCAAGGCGAAGACGCGUAGCUGGUCUGAGAGGAUGAUCAGCCACACUGGGACUGAGACACGGCCCAGACUCCUACGGGAGGCAGCAGUGGGGAAUAUUGGACAAUGGGCGCAAGCCUGAUCCAGCCACGCCGCGUGAGUGAUGAAGGCCUUCGGGUCGUAAAGCUCUGUGGGGAGGGACGAACCGCUGUUGGUGCAUAGCCAACAGCAUGACGGUACCUCCUUAGCAAGCACCGGCUAACUUCGUGCCAGCAGCCGCGGUAA
rnacentral:rRNA from 1 species